rnacentral:rRNA from 1 species
AGAGUUUGAUCAUGGCUCAGAGCGAACGCUGGCGGCAGGCUUAACACAUGCAAGUCUAACGGACGCAGCAAUGCGUCAGUGGCAGACGGGUGAGUAACACGUGGGAACGUGCCCUUCGGUUCGGAACAACCCAGGGAAACUUGGGCUAAUACCGGAUACGUCCGCAAGGAGAAAGAUUUAUCGCCGAAGGAUCGGCCCGCGUCUGAUUAGCUUGUUGGUGAGGUAACGGCUCACCAAGGCGACGAUCAGUAGCUGGUCUGAGAGGAUGAUCAGCCACACUGGGGCUGAGACACGGCCCAGACUCCUACGGGAGGCAGCAGUGGGGAAUAUUGGACAAUGGGCGCAAGCCUGAUCCAGCCAUGCCGCGUGGGUGAUGAAGGCCUUAGGGUUGUAAAGCCCUUUCGGCGGGGAAGAUAAUGACGGUACCCGCAGAAGAAGCCCCGGCUAACUUCGUGCCAGCAGCCGCGGUAAUACGAAGGGGGUUAGCGUUGCUCGGAAUCACUGGGCGUAAAGCGCACGUAGGCGGAUUGCUAAGUCAGGGGUGAAAUCCUGGAGCUCAACUCCAGAACUGCCCUUGAUACUGGCGACCUUGAGUCCGGGAGAGGUGAGUGGAACUGCGAGUGUAGAGGUGAAAUUCGUAGAUAUUCGCAAGAACACCAGUGGCGAAGGCGGCUCACUGGCCCGGUACUGACGCUGAGGUGCGAAAGCGUGGGGAGCAAACAGGAUUAGAUACCCUAGUAGUCC